UGCCAAACAUUCAUCUUCCAUUUCUCUAUGAUUAUCAGCAUGUCCUGUUCUGGUAUAUGAUCAAUUUCCUGCUGGGCUCUAGUGCAAAGUCUUUCCAUUUCUUCCUGGAGCAUAAACUUAAAUUAUUAUCUCACUGAUAUUAACCAGUCACAUUUUGCAUUGUAAUCACAAGGAUAUCAAAGGCCCACUGUAUCCCAUAGACAAAGGCAUCUUCUUUCAAGCAUUACUUCAAAGUAGUCAUAGAUCUACAAACAGUCUAGGUUAUAUUCAACCAAGGUUAAAAAUAAACAUAAGGCCCUAGCAUGGCUAAAUAACCAUUGCUAUUAUACUUCUCAUACAGAUGGAUGUUUGUUGCCAGUCCGUAACUGUGCUUCUCUUAGGUGUGGCAGCUCUCUGUCUAUUUGUUUGUCUGUCUGUCUGUCUGUCUGUCUCUCUUUUCCUCCCUCU